UCUUCAGUAGCUCAAAGGCAGAGCGAGUGGCUGUUAACUACUAAGCUGUUGGUUCGAAUCCAACCUGAAGAG
rnacentral:tRNA from 1 species